UGAUUUCCUGGUUUAACUGUCGA
rnacentral:piRNA from 1 species